rnacentral:rRNA from 1 species
UACGUAGGGGGCAAGCGUUGUCCGGAUUUAUUGGGCGUAAAGAGCGUGUAGGCGGCCAUGCAGGUCCGUUGUGAAAACUCGAGGCUCAACCUCGAGACGCCGGUGGAAACCGUGUGGCUAGAGUCCGGAAGAGGAGAGUGGAAUUCCCGGUGUAGCGGUGAAAUGCGCAGAUAUCAGGAAGAACACCCGUGGCGAAGGCGGCUCUCUGGGACGGUACUGACGCUGAGACGCGAAAGCGUGGGGAGCGAACAGG